UUCGGUGGAGGUUCACCUUGACACUCAGGCUCCUCGUAUUGGAAGCGGACGAGCAGGAUACUAUCACGUGCACUCCAUCGGACCACCAACACAAGCUGAGUGAAUGACACAGUGGAAAAUUUUUAAGCUCGUGGUGGCAUUUUCCCAGCGUUACUCUCUCAGCCAGCGGGGAUUAUAUGUAACGCCUCAUAUUAUGAGGCACUUUCCAAGCUUUAUCUUCUGCGGCACAAACGAUCAUCACUGCUAAAUGGCUAGAUGAACGACAUGGCUUACCUCUUCCAACUGCAUCGAACAAGAUCGUGCAGUGGUUAUAAAUCUGAGCCGAGCCUGGGAAGAAGUGAAAUCAAAUCUAAGUGUUCUGCAGUUUCCCGUGCAUCCAGUCAACAAAAGUAUAAUCUAUUUUCUUCUGUAAACCUGUCAAAAUAAAUUAAUGAUUCUACUCUAACGUCAAA